rnacentral:piRNA from 1 species
UGGGGUGGAGACUUCAAUCCAGGGACU